rnacentral:rRNA from 1 species
AUGGUUCGAAAAGGGCUGCCUUGCAAACACAUUCUCUUUGUUCUGCAUCAUCUUAAAUUGUCUGAAAUACCAAAGUGUUGUGUCCUCCAUCGAUUGUCGAAAUAUGUGAGAGAUGGGUUGCCAGUGCAGUGCAAGAGUGAUCUUUUUGGUUGGGGUUGGUCUGGGCUAGAGGAGAGAGAACGGCACAGUCAAGUGACAAUAAAAUCUGCAGAAGCUGCACAGGUUGCAGCAAAUGAUCCCUUCUUGUUUGAUGAAUUGAUGAAGUGCCUACACGAUAUAAUUGCAAGGAAGAAGAUCCCGGAAGAGGAA